rnacentral:rRNA from 1 species
GGAAGUAAAAGUCGUAACAAGGUCUCCGUUGGUGAACCAGCGGAGGGAUCAUUACUGAGUUGCAAANCUCCCAAACCCACGCGUACCUUACCUAUGUCGUUGCUUCGGCGGCGCCGCCCACUGGCCUCUCCGGCGCCCGGGGGGUGUGCCCGCCGGAGGUUCUACAAACUCUCUGUAUCACAGUGUACUCUCUGAGAAAAACAUAUCAAUAAUCAAAACUUUCAACAACGGAUCUCUUGGUUCUGGCAUCGAUGAAGAACGCAGCGAAAUGCGAUAAGUAAUGUGAAUUGCAGAAUUCAGUGAAUCAUCGAAUCUUUGAACGCACAUUGCGCCCGCCAGUAUUCUGGCGGGCAUGCCUGUCCGAGCGUCAUUUCAACCCUCAGGCCCUGCCUGGCGUUGGGGCACCGCGCAGCGCGCGCGGGCCCUGAAAUACAGUGGCGAGCCGCCUGGACUCCGAGCGUAGUAGUGUAAAAGCCUCGCUCAGGGCGUCCGGCGCGCGUCGCCGUGAAAACCCCCAACUUCACAAGGUUGACCUCGGAUUCAGGUAGGGAUACCCGCUGAACUUAAGCAUAUCAAUAAA